rnacentral:rRNA from 1 species
CAGCCGUAAGCUAUGCGCGUUAGGUGUACUGGUGACCACGAGUCACCGGGGUGCCGAAGGGAAACCGUGAAACGUGCCGCCUGGGAAGUACGGUCGCAAGGCUGAAACUUAAAGGAAUUGGCGGGGGGAGCACCACAACGGGUGGAGCCUGCGGUUUAAUUGGACUCAACGCCGGAAAUCUCACCGGAUAGGACAGACAUAUGAUAGUCGGGCUGAAGACUCUACUUGAUGAUCUGAGAGGAGGUGCAUGGCGUCAGUGACU